rnacentral:rRNA from 1 species
UCUGGUGGCGAUAGCGAAGAGGUCACACCCGUUCCCAUCCCGAACACGGAAGUUAAGCUCUUCAGCGCCGAUGGUAGUGGGGGGAUUCCCCCUGUGAGAGUAGGACGCUGCCAGGC